GUGUCCUAGGAGCUGCAUGGGACACUGCUUUUGGGGGACUGAACUCCAGGUUCCCUGACCCUGGAUUGGCUGCAGUGGUGGGAACCUGGCCUGACUUUUUUGGGACUUUGCUUGCUGGAUUGAACCUUGACUGCAUUUCCUGACUGUUGGAUUUUGGACUUGGCUUGCUUUAUUUAACCUGGACUGCGUUUCCUGAUGUGUUGGACUGCUGAACUACUUGCUAGCCCUUGGGACUGAAUACGCCAGUGGGACUGGUCACCAGGUACGCUGGGGUUCAGGACAUUGGGAAAGAUAGUGCUGGUCUCUGCAUCCUGGCAUGGCUAGCCAAGCUAUAAGUAACCACAGCCAGGUCAGCUCUCAUGGUUGCAUAAAGGGGAGACAAGGAUGCUUCCACCAUUCAGGCCUAGAUUUGAAGGCUUCAUCCGCGUUCUGUUCCACUCAUCUGUCUAGCUAAACCUCAAAUGCUUGUACAGCAUAAACAAUAUCCCUUAAAGCGUGCCUGGACUGCAGAUUUUGGCACUGUCCAGAGGAAGACCACCACAAGGUAUUCUGUCUCUUGUGUAUUGUCCCAGUUUUUAAAUCUAGAAAUGAAAGAUGAAGCAGUGGCUGGAAGAGGUACCAAUGCACACAGAAAACAACUUCUAGCAGAGUUAUCAGCUUAUCCUCCUUGAGCCUAUAGAGUAAAUUUUAAUUUAUAUCUCUCCCUUCAGUACCUGAGCAUUGAUUUUUAUUCGGGAGAUAAUACUGCUCCAUCGGGGAACUUGCUCCUUGCUUCACAAAACAAUUCUAAGUUAACAAUGUCAAAAGUUAAAACGGCAGCCAAAGUUCUAAAACAUUUUCUCAGGAAAAAGUGUCAUCUUUGUUUCUGACACUUAGUUAAAAAAGAAGAAGUGCUAAUGGAUUCAAGUGAGGGAACAUUUCUACAGGCUGUAGGGAGAGACCAUCAGACGCAACUUGUCCAUGAUUGAGAAAAAUCCACAUUUAAGAAGGGCAAAGUUAUCACUUAAGAUUUUAUGUGUGAUAGAUUACCCAGGAUGACACAAUUGUUUGAUGUUUCACAAAUGCAAUGUAGGAACCGAAAUCCUAAAUAAACAAAACAAUGUUUUAUUCUGG